rnacentral:sRNA from 1 species
CACUCGCUCCCUGAGCCCGGCCCCCAGAUUAGGUUCGCUCUGGGGGUAUCAGGCCAGCAUGGACGCUAGCAAAGCGGGCAGACCCUGAAGAUUCACUGCUCAGCAGACAGGUGAGAGCCUUUCGAGCUGUGGCCUGGGGCUGGGGGACAGGGCCUGGAACCCCAGCAGCCGGGUGGGUCUGGGAGCUGCUGUCCUUGAGUUGGUUGGGGCCCUGGGAAGCCUGGGUUCUGGCAGCCUGGUCCCUGAAUGGGUCCAGCCUGUACAGCUGGGGUCCCAGGUGGGGGUGGGACAGGAGCCAUGAGAUUCUGAGUCCCAAGAAUGGGGGCUGGGCGGGGUUUUCGGCUCAGCAGCUCCCCACUCCCAAAGCGCCCAGAUGUCUGCAGGUGGCUGAGCCCCUUCAUCCUCUCCUGCUGGUGUACUUCUGCCUCUGGAUUCCCGAGGACCAGCUGUCCUGGUUCGCUGCCCUGAUCAAGUGCCUGCCCGUCUCUGCUGGCCGGGGUUCCUGUGGAUCAUGUCCCCACAGCGGGGGCUACACCCGGCUCCUCCAGGGAGCCCUUGUGUGCUCAGCUGUGGGGGACGCCUGCCUCAUCUGGCCUGAAGCCUUCCUCCUGGUGAGCGGAAGCUGCUGUGACGCUUUCCAGAUGCCGUGUGUGGGAGGCCCCCAGCACUGGAUGGGAGCCUGGGUGCAGAGGGUCCUGUGAGAGAGCUCCAGUGAUGAAGGCACGGUGCGGGGCGCAGCCGUGACCGAGGCGGCUCACGCUCCAGCGAGGGUGGGGGGCGCAGCCGUGACUGAGGCGUCUCACGCUCCAGCGAGGGUGGGGGCAGGCGGUGUUAUGGCAGUAGCUGGGGGUGGCGCGGAGAGGCGGUGAGGACCGCUGGAGUACUGAGUUUGAAGCAGGGUUGCUGAGGAAGGCCUCACUGAGGAAGUCACAUUUGGGGCAGAGCUGAAGGUACUGUAUGCCUGUGUGGGGAAGGGUGGAGUGUAAAGGCUCCGGGGCAGGGACGUGCCAGGUGCUGUGGCCAAGCAGGCCGGGUGGCUGGAGCAGAGUGGCUGGUGAGCCGGAGGGCAUGGGGCUUUGGAGGCCAAGGGAAGGUGGGGCCUCCUGGCGGUUCUGAGCAGAGCAAGGAUGGACACUGCAUGUGGGGGGACCUGCGAGGAGGCUUAGGGAAGGUGGGGCCUCCCUGGCGGUUCUGAGCAGAGCAAGGAUGGACACUGCAUGUGGGGAGCCCCGCGAGGAUGCUUGGCCAGGGUAGGGCCUGGUGCUUUGGGAUGGUCCUUCUCUUAGGCCCUGAGGGGUAACUUCGGGGCCAUUCCCAGGAUGGCCUUCCUCACUGGUACCCCACCUCCUCUCCCGCCAGGCAUGGCCGCCUUUGCCACCGCCCACCUCCUCUACGUCUGGGCCUUCGCUUCUCUCCCCUGCAGCCUGGCCUGCUGCUGCUCAUCACUGGCCUCUGGCCCUACCUCACUUGUGCUCCAGCACCUUGAGCCGGAUAUGGUCCUGCCGGUGGCAGCCUACGGGCUGAUACUGAUGGCCGUGCUGUGGCGCGGCCUGGCCCGGGGCGGGAGUGCCGGCUGGGGCGUGCUGCUCUUCACACUGUCUGAUGGCAUGCUGGCCUGGGACACCUUCGCCCAGCCCCUGCCCAGCCCGCCUGGGUGAUCAUGGCCCACCUACUGUGCUGCCCAGUCCUCAUCACACUGUCAGCCCUCAGGAGCCUGUGCCCAAGACUGACUGACUAGGGAGCUUGAAGGGCCGGUGUUCAGGCCUCUUCUGCAAGUACCUGGGCCUCCCAGACCAGCCCAGCCUGAAAUACCCUCAGCAGCGAAGCUUCCUGAUGCCUGUCUGCAGGCGCCGCUGCCGCCGGUCGCUUCUGGCUGAAGACAUUUGAGGACGAUUUGCGGAAUUCUAAGUCCACUGCUGGGUUCCAGCUGCCUUCCCUGGGUUCUGACUCCAGAUCCCUGGCUCAUCAGCCAGGCCCACAUGCGGCCUCCCAGCCACCAGCCUGCCUCCGUGUUCGCUGUCGGCCCCACAGCCUGCCCACCCCCUGCUGUUGCUCUGAAUCCGUUUUCCUUGUGGGUGUGGAACCGUAGAUGAUGUUGUUACCCGUAGGAGAGGCUCGGGAGGGUAUCAUUGUGAUAAACCAUCGCGGUUAUGAC